CAAAUCCGGUCCUUUCCACCAUCGAGAACAAUCCAUGCCUUCAUUAUUCUAUUUCCUUCUUUCUCCCUCUCGCAGCUCCCACAUCAAAACCUCCCCCUCCUAAUCUCAAAUCCGGCCAGCUUCACCGCCACCGCGUUCUCUUGGUCUAGCGCUGAAAUCGAAGAAUCAUGAGUUACCUAUUGACGACACUGACGAAGAAGCAAGAGGUGGAUUCGAUCAUCAGAUCCACCAUCGACAAGGUCCUCGUCCUCCGCUUCGGCCGCGCUUCCGAUUCCGUCUCUCUUCUUCUCGACGACGUUCUCGCCAAAUCAGCCCGCGACGUCUCCAAGUUCGCAACCGUGGCACUCGUCGAUGUCGAUUCCGACGACGUUCAGGUCUACCUCCAUUACUUCGACAUCACUCUGAUUCCGUCCACCAUUUUCUUCUUCAACGCCCAUCACAUCAAGAUGGAUUCCGGAACUGCUGAUCACACCAAAUGGAUCGGCGCGUUUCGGUCGAAGCAGGACUUCAUCGAUGUUGUCGAGGCUAUUUUCAGAGGAGCGAUGAAAGGGAAGCUAAUUGUGAACUGCCCCUUGCCGCCGGAACGAAUUCCGAGAUACCAGUUGUACUAUAAAGAUGUCUAGAAGUUGCCAAAGUGUGAUGAACUAGAGGUAUGCUUUACUCGGUUUGCCUGAGGCAUGUCAAUCUUGGCUAAGUGUGCUUUAUAAUUUUGUAUUAUUGAGAUAAUGUGCAUUGUACAAUUAGAAGCUCAUUGCAUGAUUGGGUGGUAGAAGUGAAUGGAUCACUUGCUUUGAUUAACUAUUUCGGGAUUAGGGGAUAUGGGAUAAUUUUGUUGGGAGUUAUCUGUGGCAAUAUUAUGUUAGUUCUUUGGUAGAAGACAAAUUAGAUCUUUUACUAGAGAUUUGUACGAGUAAUUGAGAGGAUGAAUCUGUUGAUCGCUAGGGAGCUGGAGCAUCCUUUUCUCUCUAUCUCAUGUGCGCGUAUGAGGCUAGCGCGUUUAAACCAUCAAUUCUACAAAUUGAUGAAGUUGGCAUUUUGUUUCGUUUGACGAUUCUUUAUACUUGUAAAGUUGUAACACGGAUGAUAUCUGUGGAUCUAUAUUACAUAUUACAUUAAUAAGAAACAGGCUGGUAGUAAAGAAGAAAGGGGUACAAAACUCUUUGAAUAGAUUUACCAAAAAGAGAGAGAUCCAUAAGUCUCAGUAGCUAGUUUUCCAAAUGCUCCACCGUACUGACUUUCCUGAAGUCUUAGGGUUCAUGUAACAUUUUUUUUUCUAGGAAUAUCUAUACUAUCUUAAGAGGACAUGGCUGGUUUAUGGCAUAAAAUUGCACCGCCAUGGUGUCCUUAUCAUUUUUCUCCUCAUCUGUAUAUACAACAAUUUCAGUCUCUAGAAAUAUUAUUCAAUUGUUACAUGAGCAAGCAAAGUAUGAAGAAUUGAAAUUCAUUCUAGUAACUAAGGUUUGAUUCACCUUAAUUGGCACAAGGGUGGAAUUGGUGUGCUCAUUUGAAGUGGGUUUAGUUGUAUACUCAAUAUUUGGAACUACUCUACCAACGACAUAACUGUUGCUUUUUUGACCGAAGAUAAUGUUUUAAUUCUCACCAAUACAACCACAGGUAACCUGGUUGUAGCGUGCAAAUACCAAAAUACCAGUUAUUUUAUAAGGAUGUGUAGAAGUUGUAGUCUGUAAAAGUUGGAUGAACUUCUGAGGUUAUACUUACUUUAUUAUGAGAAAUGUAUUUGAGAGUUUUAUGGCUCAGCCUUUUUACUUUGGUUCUCUUUGCUUUUGUUGAAUGGGUGGAAGUUUUCACCUGAUUAUUACCAAUUAGGAUUCUUGUAGUUCAUGCUAUUUCCAGGGAAAGAAGAGGAAGUUGAAGAAGAAUGAGUAGGUAUGGAUUGAAAGUCACAAAACAGGAGAGAAGGACUCUGAAAAGAGAGAGGGUCCUCCUGGACACACAAAAGCUCAAGAUUUUGCAUCUCUAACCUCACAUGAAGCUGGGUUUUGUUCGUAUGAGGUCCUUACAUAAGAUGGAUUCAGGAACAGCUGAUUACAGUAAAUGGGUCAGUGUGUUUCACACAAAUCACAACUUCAUUGAUGUUUUUGAGUCGGUUUUCAAAUGAGAAAUGGAAGGCAAGCUAAUUGUGAAUUUCUCCUUGCCACCGGAAUGGAUUCCUGAGAACCAACAUUUGUACUUGUAGUAGUAGUUGAGAGAAUAUUCGAUUAACUUCUAAGAUUGUACUUUUGUUAAUAUGAAAACAUAUUUGGAAGUUUUAUUGCUUAA